GGUCUCGUGGCGCAAUGGCCGCGCGUUGGUUUCCGGAUUAGGUACUUACCAAAGGUUCCAGGUUCGAGUCCUGGCGGGAUCG